rnacentral:tRNA from 1 species
AUUCAAGUAGUUUAACCCAAAACUCUGGUCUUGUAAACCAAAAAUGAAGCCUCCAACCUUCCUCGAAUA